GGAGGUGUGCCCGAGCGGCCGAAGGGAACGGUCUUGAAAACCGUCGUGGCAGCGAUGUCACCGUGGGUUCAAAUCCCACCACCUCCG
rnacentral:tRNA from 1 species